GACGUGGAUUGUAAAUUUCAUGAGAUGAACUAACAGAUUGAGGCACUGCAGCACCAAGCCACAGAUCGGAGCAAUCAGUCAGCUUCCGCAUUGAUCUGCCUUUCAGCGAUAAAAUCAUGCGAGAGCCAUUGCCUGCCAACUUCAAGAUGCCCCAGCUAGAAAUCUAUGACUAGGGAUGGGAAUCGGAUUGGAUCAGAUAUAAAUGGGUCGGGUC
rnacentral:lncRNA from 1 species